UACGUAGGGGGCAAGCGUUGUCCGGAAUCAUUGGGCGUAAAGAGCGUGUAGGCGGCCCGAUAAGUCCGCUGUGAAAGUCCAGGGCUCAACCCUGGAAUGCCGGUGGAUACUGUCGGGCUCGAAUCCGGAAGAGGUGAGUGGAAUUCCUGGUGUAGCGGUGAAAUGUGCAGAUAUCAGGAGGAACACCAAUGGCGAAGGCAGCUCACUGGGACGGUAUUGACGCUGAGACGCGAAAGCGUGGGGAGCAAACAGG
rnacentral:rRNA from 1 species